GAAAUUUUCCAUUCUGGCAGUGUUCUGUUCAAUAACACUCAACUAUAAUGGUAGGCCUUAGCACAUCUGAUCUGAAAAACACAGGAAGAGGAAAUGCGUUGUUUAUCUGACUAAAUAUAGUUGGAUUGGAUGUCUUCUUUCCAUAAAAUGGUCAGAGAGGAUGGCUGAUAUAUAUUGGUGUGGAUUUUCAAGUGCUGUAAACAAUAUAGUUCCUUGUAUUCCAGUAGUUUUAACAGUAUUUGCAGCCCAUUGAGACCCCAUUGCGGAAUACAAAUCUGAAUUAAACGAGCUUUGGGUUGGAUAAUGAGAGAUGCAGGGUACUCAUAUUUCCUCUAGACUAGAUGCACAUUGUAAGCCUUUCAGUUGUGCUAAGGGUGAGAAGAAUCUGGGUGAGUUCAGACCUGAAAAUAUCAGUUGAAUGCACUUACUAUUACUUAUAAUCUGUUUUGUUUUAAAAGAAGAAUCCAUUAAUUACCAGUUUAUUUCAUGUUUACAGCAUGUAUGUAUUUGCACUGUGUACUGUGGGAGAGAGGGAAACACCUUCCAGAGGCCUCCUGCAUCAGAAAUGACAAGAAAAGCACUGGAAAGAGCUGUCAGCGUGCUGGUGGCUGACAGGCCGAACUGCUUUGUCUGUAACUUGUGGUCGUGACUGGUUGGAGCUCAAAACUGCUGGUAACUGUGCAUUACAUGCAGUAUUGUUUCUGUCUGUAACUGUGAAGGAAACUCAUGCAGAAUCCACACAUGGCAUGAAAUAAUUUUUCUAAUGCAUGACUUGCUGACUUUGGGCAAAAGCCUAUUUUCUUCCUGCUCACCGAGGAACCGAAGCAGGCAAAUACACUCCCUUCUCCUCUGCAGAGCAGAGAAAGGAUUUCUGAAGCCCAUGCAAAGUGAUUCACAGCGAGAUGCAGUCCUAAAGGCCAGAAAGCCCCAGCAUGCAGACAUUCUCCUCCUCCUUCUCUAUUUUCCUCUGAAAUGAGAGCACAGCAGUAACUCUGACAACUGGUCUCUGGCUGCUGAGUAAUAAGCUGUAGUUUAAGGUCAGGAGUAUUUUCCCUUUUGCACUUAAUGGAGUACUGUGUAUUCGAAUUGGAUCUCAGUGUUUGCUUUUGUAGAUACGGUGGUCCCGAUUUGCAUCCUCCACCACUUCCUCCUCUCUGUCUAUAUUCAUAUCUCCCAAGGAGAGAAGAUAAUUGUUAAGAUUCUGUAAUGUUAAAUAUCUCUGCCCUUACCUAAAUACACACACAUGUAGAGCGCAAUGAAAUAUAGUUACUUUCUUUAAUUUAUUAUUUAUUGGAAGAUAAUUUUGCCUGCAUUUCGUAGUAAUGAAAAUAUAGUAUUGAUGAAAGAACAGUAAAACUGUUGAGAGGUAUUCACAGUGCCUGGGAUGAUCGUAUAAAUUACAGAUGGGAAGGGCAAGUGCAGGGCUCAGUUCCGUGCCCUGAGCAGUGCUGCGUUAUGCUUGCGUUCUCCAUCAGGCUUUUGAUAUCCCAGGGCUGAGUACGUGUGGUAUGUGGCAUGACACAAACUUGUUGGGUCAAGUGACUUAAGGUUUGUGAUGUAUUAAAAUUAGGUAGGAAAUGAAAGCUGUAGCAGAAGGUGAACAUUUCAAUAACUGUACGUGCUCAGUAGCUUGAAUUUCUGUAUUGUUAUUUCACUGUUGAAAAGGGAGGUAUUGAAGCACAGGCGGGUUGUAGACGGUAUUUUCAAGCUUAGCAGUCUGAGCUUUUGGGUUUUUUUCCUUCUGCGGUGAAGAGCAUCUGCAUUUUUUCAGUGGAUACUCAUUUGAAAAAUGACUUAAUGCAGCAUUUAAAAUGUUGAAUGGUAACUGAGGAUUCCACAGCACUUUUCAUGAAUUAAGGUGGAAUUCAUCUGACUGUAUGUUGAUGUCUGCAUUUGAGCAAGACACUGCAGUAGCUGACCAGUACAGCUAACGAGUGCAUGUCAGCAGCUCAUCCUAACUGCCUGCAGUCUAUCAGACGAGCUGCACCCUGAACUCCACUGACUGUUACAGGUGGUUCGCAGACACUGGAGUUAGGGCCAUCUGAAGUUAGGUGAGAUGAAGCCUCACCUUGGAGCGUGCUGGCUGGCUGGCAGCACUAGGCGUUGUGUCCCAUUAGGCUUUCCUUGUGGUUAGCCAUGGUACUGUCCUCCACUCCCCACCUGGCACUCACUGGGAGGUGUGAGGCCUUGGUUUGGUUUGGUUUUGGUUUUGAUAGUUAUUCUAGAGCAGGUGGCACUACAGUGGUGGAUAAAGUAACUGAUCCUUGGUUAUAGAACUGUGGCAUAAAUAUGGUUUGGGGGUUUCUAAAGUUUUUUAGAGAGAGUGUUACUAUAUGAACACUGGAUUGUGCGUAUCUUAAAAUGUGUUAAGACAAGUAAGAUUUGUGUCCCCAUUGAUUAAAGCAUUUCCUUACACUUAUUCAGCACUAGAUAUCUAUCAUGAAACUUAUGUAAAGAAUCUGCCAGAAUGAUGGAAGAUUCAAGUUGUCUUCAUUGGUGAUACAAAACAACCCACCACAAGAGCUCCACUCCGAUUCUAAAGUGUUCCCCAUGCCUCCAGUUCCAGCUUACAGAAGCGUUUCUAAUUCUGCUUAGUUGGUUAUCUGCAUGUAUGCUUACAGUUUGUACAGAAAUGCACUAAAAAUGAGUUGCCCGACCCGGGAAGGCUUUAUAUUGUAUAGAAAAUGUGGCACUAGGUACUGCUCUUCAUGUGCACAGGAGAGUUAACAGGUGUCGAUCUCGUUUACAGAAAUGAUGGAGCUUUGCAAUUUUCUAUAAUACAUUGCAAUAUAUUUAAAUGUCCUGUUUGACAUGUGAAAUGAAAUUAAGUUAAUGCAUUGUUAUGUAUUUGAGUAUGAGGAAGACGAUUCACUAACAACCAGCAAGGUUUUUAGAAGGUGUCCAGUAUGUAGCAGUCUGUGUGAUCUGUCUGGUGUAUGUGAAGUUGUUAAAGGAAGCAACACUAUUAUUAUCGUUUAGAAUUAAGAGUUUUUUACGAGUGAUGCAAUAGCUUACAGUGUCUUUCCUUUGUAGCUGCCCAAUGUGGUGAAGGGGAAGCAAUUCUUGAAAAAGUCCAAGAUAACUGGUUAACUGUGAAUGGGCCUAAUCUUUCGUGCAACCAAGAAACUAUUUGGACACACACACAGGACUUGAAUACUCAAAAGGAUUGGAACUUAGUGUUGUGCCAAAGUUAAACUACUGCAGUUGGCAGAAGUUCUGCACUGUAAAUAGAAGACUGAUUAAAAGACAGCUUGUAAAAGAGAAAAAAAGAUCAAAUUUUAAUACACUACGUUUUUAUUCUGAUACGUGCCGGAAACAUUCUGUUUUAGACCUUUUUUGAAGAGGCUUCAGUGACCACUAGAUUUUGUCCUCUUAUAUUUUGUUUGGCCUAAUACUAUAUGUUCUAGUAAGAUGGGCUUUACUGCCUGUGUUCUUUGAUACGUGAUUAAGCUUAUAGCUUUGAGUGACCAAACAUUUUACAGAGUAAAAGUUCUUAGAAACAGUAUAAUGUAACUGAUAUUUCUGUGUCUUAUUUAUCAGGCUCUGCACAAACUUGGGAAGUUGUGCUGGACUUGUACAACUUACACGUGGGAACGCAGCAUACUGCUUGGUAUUACAGACCUAAGCCUUCGAGGCAGUACGGAUCUUGUCUUUGGAUUUAUUUUUGUUAUUCUUUUGAGGCAAAGAGAUGAACGGAUGCUGCUGUAAAAUAUUUG
rnacentral:lncRNA from 1 species